GAUGAACGCUGGCGGCGUGCUUAACACAUGCAAGUCGAACGAGAAGUGAAUACGGAAACCUUCUGGCGGAAGGCUUUAUUUCUAGUUGCGGACGGGUGAGUAACGCUUGGGUAACCUUCCUCAUACAGGGGGAUAACAGUUUGAAACGACUGUUAAUACCGCAUAAGACCACAGCACCGCAUGUUUCGGGGGUAAAAACUCCGGUGGUAUGAGAUGGACCCGCUUUCGAUUAGCCAGUUGGCGGGGUAACGGCCCACCAAAGCGACGAUCGAUAGCCGAGAAGAGAGGAAGACAGGAGACAAUGGGAAUGAGACACGGCCGAAAAUACUACGGGAGGAAGGAGUGGGGAAUAGAGCAAAAUGGGGGAAAAGAUGAAGAAGCGACGACGGGUGAGUGAAGAAGUAUGUCGGUAAGAAAAGCACAAGAAGAAGGGAAGAAAAUGACGGUACCUGAGUAAGAAGCCCCGGCUAACUACGUG
rnacentral:rRNA from 1 species